rnacentral:rRNA from 1 species
GACGAACGCUGGCGGCGUGCCUAAUACAUGCAAGUCGAACGCAGUGGGGACGGGUGAGUAACACGUGGGUAACCUCCCAUCAGAGGGGAUAACACUUGGAAACAGGUGCUAAACCGAUACUGAUGGAUGGACCCGCGGUGCAUUAGCUAGUUGGUGAGGUAACGGCUCACCAAGGCCACGAUGCAUAGCCGACCGGGGAGGGGGAUCGGCCACACGGGGAUUGAGCAACGGCCAAGACUCCUACGGGAGGAAGAAGUAGGGAAGCUUCGGCAAUGGACGAAAGUCUGACGGAGCAACGCGGCGGGAGUGAAGAGGGUUUUCGGAUCGAAAAACUCGGUGGUUAAGGAAGCGGUAUCUAACCAGAAAGCAACGGCUAACUACGUGCAGCAGCCGCGGUAAUUC